UUUCAACUCUGAACUCUUAAAUUUUGUACAUAGGAUAGUCUCUUCAUCUUCUCCCCAUUUCUUUAAUUUCAAAAUCUCUCCCUUCAUUUUUCAAAAUCUUCUUUGUGUGAACUACUUUUGUUCUAAACUUUGACCAUUUUUGCAAAAAGGUAGAAACUUUGGUCUUAUGCCAUUGCAUUUUCAAAAUUCUUUCCUUAAAUCAAACUUGUGAAUAAAUGUAAUUAUACUUGACUUAAACUUUCGAAAAU
rnacentral:lncRNA from 1 species